rnacentral:lncRNA from 10 species
UGCGGCUUCCGCGACCACAAGUACUGCUGCGACGACCCGCACAGCUUCUUCCCCUACGAGCACAGCUACAUGUGGUGGCUCAGAUGGAGUCUUGCUCUGUCACCCAAGCUGGAGUGCAGUGGCACGAUCUCGGCUCACUGCAACCUCCGCCUCCCGAGUUCAAGUGAUUCUCGUGCCUCAGCCUCCCGAGUAGCAUUGGCGCUCUCAUAGGCCUGUCCGUAGCAGCAGUGGUUCUUCUCGCCUUCAUUGUUACCGCCUGUGUGCUCUGCUACCUGUUCAUCAGCUCUAAGCCCCACACAAAGUUGGACCUGGGCUUGAGCUUACAGACAGCAGGCCCUGAGGAGGUUUCUCCUGACUGCCAAGGUGUGAACACAGGCAUGGCGGCAGAAGUGCCAAAAGUGAGCCCUCUCCAGCAGAGUUACUCCUGCUUGAACCCGCAGCUGGAGAGCAAUGAGGGGCAGGCUGUGAACUCCAAACGCCUCCUCCAUCAUUGCUUCAUGGCCACAGUGACCACCAGUGACAUUCCAGGCAGCCCUGAGGAAGCCUCUGUACCCAACCCUGACCUAUGUGGACCAGUCCCAUAAACAUUCAAUAAAU